GUGAAUUUCUCAAGGUGGGGCUCUGAAAUUCAUAAAAAUGUGGAAUUUAAGGGAAAUAUUUAGGUGGAAAACCAAAAGUACCUCAGGAAAUCCCAAAAAGUUCUCAGGAAACCCAAAAAGUUCUCAGGAAAUCCCAAAUUCUCUCAGGAGACCCCAAAAAGUUCUCAGGAAGCCCCAAAAAGCUCCCAGGAAACCCCAAAAGGCCCCCAGGAAACCCCACAAGGAUCUCAGGAAAUCCCAAAAAGUUCUCAGGAGAUCCCAAAAGGAUCUCAGGGAACCCCAAAAGCAUCUCAGAAACCACCAAAUUCUCUCAGGAGAGCCCCAAAGGCUCCCAGGAGAUCCCACAAGGUCGGUGGGAAUCCCAGGGCGCUGCUCCAGCCCUGAGGGAGGGCUGGGACAGCUGAGCCUGCUCAGAGGAGAAAAGCAACAGGAGAAGUGUCCAGGAGGGAGCCAGGGCCACCAGAUCCCAGGGGAACAUCCUGAGAUCCCACAGGAACCUCCAGCAGAUCCCACAGAAACAUUCCCAUGGGAAUCCACCAAAUUCCACGUAAACAUCCAGAAUAUCCCACAGGAACAUCCAAAAGAUCUC
rnacentral:lncRNA from 1 species